rnacentral:lncRNA from 1 species
GACUGUGAGCUAAUUUCUUGAUUGACUUAGUUGAAGGAGGAAGACCCACCUAAAUGUGGAUUUUAACACUCCAUGGAGUGAAGACUGGCUAAAUGGCGACAGUUAAGCUGAGCACCAGCCCUUAACUGCGUCUCUGUUUCAGGGUCUCUCAAGCACUACUGCCACCUGCUCUCCACCAUCCUGAACUGCGCCCUGACCUCAUGAGCUAGAAUAAACCCUCCCUCCACUAAGUUGCUCUUGUUGGCAUUUUAACACAGCGAAGAGAAAACCAAUAGGAGCAUCGAUGGCCCAGCCUUCCUUCUGAUUGGUGCUCUAUUCUUUGUGGGCUCCUCCCUCUAGCUCCCAGCCUUUCUUCUGAUUGGUGUUCUAUUCUCUGUGGGCUCCUCCAUCCAGCCUCUGCCAGUCAGUCCAGUGCUCCCUAUUAGACCCUUCAUUAGCAUAUAACCUCCAUCUUUCUACUUUCCUUUAUAGCUGAUCUUAGCUCUGCAGUCCCCAUCCCACCAACUCAAACUUCCAAGGUUAGCAACUCACACUCAGUGGGUUGUUGUUGGGGUUGAUCUUGUGUACUGUGUAUUUAGAUGUUGAAACCUGGGCCCCAUGAUCAGGUUGCAGUCUGGUUAAGGGCAUUGUGUUGAUCAGUGUGCUGUAAAGAAUGCUCUCCAAUAAUCUCUGAUUGGACAGAAAAAGGUGGGAGCCCGUGAUUGGCAGGAAUGAGAGGAAGGAGGGACUUGAAAUUAAAUGGGUUUGGGGAGGUCUCAGGUAGGGACCAUGAGGAGGUGAGAGGAGAGAGAAGAUCACCACGAGGCAGGACGGACCAGGAGCUAACGCCUGAGAGCAGGUCUACCUGAAGCACACACGAAACAGAGCAAGCUGGGUAAACAGACUGCAAGGAGCACUGGGGCCUAUUGCUGGGAUGUAGGUUAGAAUAGCUCAGAACCUGCCCAGCACCGUGACAGCAGCUAGUAAAUAAAAUACUGGGUUUCUAUAUUUCUUAUUUGGGAGCUAAAUGGGAUAGAAUCUCCCCAUAAAGUUAUUUCAAUAGGUUAUCUUACCACCAGGAAUCUCUGGGCUAUUGGGUGCAGCUUCUCUGUCUGUGCCCUGGCUCCUGCCCUCC